AUCGGAUCUCUAUUUCGUUGUCAAUGCUGUAUCUAAUUUUUUUUACGUAAAGUAGCAGCUGUGGUUUCUUUAAUAAUGAAGAGAGAAGAACAACGCGUUACCCAAGGCGACGCCAGUUCGAGGAAACAUCGAUGAGCUGCGACAACGGAUGACACAAGCAGCUGUCACCAUACAUCAAGUCUUGCUUCAUGGGAUCUGGCACGAAAAUGGUUACAGAUGGGACAUUUACGUGUUACAAAAGUUAAAUAAGGGACAAAACUCCACCCGAAGAGGUCAUGAAGGCUCAACGGUACCGACCGUCCGCCGUGUCAUCCUCGCCCGAAGGCAUCGUUGGAUGCGGAUAUGGAGUGCCAUGCGGUCAGCACACCGCUCUCACGGCAGUAUGUCAGUUUACGAGGCCGGAGCCGCUACUUUUCAAUCAAGUAGCUCAACAGUUUGCCUCACAAAAGCUGAGUGCACCACGCUUGUCAACAGCGCUCGGCAGUCCGGAUGGUCACCCUUUAAACAUUCAUGGUGGUGUCUUAUUGUUCUAUAUCGUGUCUCCCUACCACUUUCGCGCAACGACGCUCUGAGCGUGUUUUUUUAGGGAAUUGACUAGUUUGAACCUGGGACCUGUUGCUGGUAAGGAGACGCCAGACCACACAUGACAUGU